GUUAUAAAGAUGGUAGCACAUACACUAAAAUUGGAACAAUACAGAGAAGAUUAGCAUGGCCUCUUUUGCAAAUUUAAGAUAGUUAUUGUCAUGAUUGUU
rnacentral:snRNA from 1 species